rnacentral:tRNA from 1 species
AAGAAAGAAUGCAAGAGCUGCUAACUCAUGCCACUGUACUUAAGCGUACAGCUUUCUUA